rnacentral:rRNA from 1 species
CCUACGGGUGGCAGCAGUGAGGAAUAUUGGUCAAUGGCCGCGAGGCUGAACCAGCCAAGUCGCGUGAAGGAAGACGGCCCUACGGGUUGUAAACCUCUUUUGUAAGGGAGUAAAGUGCAGGUCGGGUACUGCUUUGCGAGUACCUUAAGAAUAAGCAUCGGCUAACUCCGUGCCAGCAGCCGCGGUAAUACGGAGGAUCCGAGCGUUAUCCGGAUUUAUUGGGUUUAAAGGGAGCGUAGGCGGGUGGUCAAGUCAGUGGUAAAAGUUGGCGGCUCAACCCCAAAAUGGCAGUUGAAACUGGGUGCCUUGAGUGCAGGAAGGGUAGGCGGAAUGCGUGGUGUAGCGGUGAAAUGCUUAGAUAUCACGAAGAACUCCGAUUGCGAAGGCAGCCUACUGGACUGCAACUGACGCUGAUGCACGAAAGCGUGGGUAUCAAACAGGAUUAGAUACCCCUGUAGUC